CGGGCCUGGUGGUCGGCG
rnacentral:miRNA from 1 species